CUUAUCACUUAAGCCCCCCCCGACACCUGUCUUUAUAGACCAGUAAACCUUUGAAAUGGAUUCUUCCCAGAGUUACCCCUCAAAGUAAAGUUUAUUGAAGUUGUGAGGAAGGUGACAUGGCAUUAGUGGUGAAGGAAGUUCUGUGUUCUUUCUUCCUCCACUUUUUAAGCUUAAUAGCUUUGUUUACCUAAUAAAUAAAAAUGGACCUUCAUUGUCUUUGCCUGAAGACUGGCUGGUCAGAGAAUCAAAUACACAUUCCUUUAUCUAAGGCAGACCUGUUUACCAACUCCCCCUGACAUGCCUGGUUUAGCCACACUUUAGUCAUAAUUCUAGCGUAUAUUUGUAACUCUUAAUACUCACUGUGUACAUAUAUUUACAAGAAUAUUAAUGAUCAGCAAGUUAUUAGUUUUCAAAUGAUACCUCACAAGGCAUAUUUUGUACAGAGAUUAUUAUAAUAGUGUGUUGGGUGUGAAUACAGGGGAGUUUAGUGCCACACUCCCAUUCACACUAAAUAGUCUGUAAUAUAGUGGUACUGUCAGCUUCUGAAACUGAAUUGUUUUAAGAGGGUUAACCAAAAGCCCUAAACGUCUGUAGAUAUUGAUCAGUAAUUAUCCAUUUUUCUCUAUUCAGGAAUUAGACAACCUUCCACAUUGUUUGUAAUGAAUCUGUGGCUGCACGGGACUUCAUGCUUGUCAGCUAUUCUACAUGGCAUGACUGCACAGCUCUCCAGUCAUCAAGGAUUUUAUGAUCCCAAAGCACAAACCUCUGUCACUUAAGAUGCCUAUUCCAGUAACUCAAGGGGAAUUCAAACUGUUUGUGCCUCUUCAUGCCGUGUUUGGUGCUCUCAGCUACCCCUUCUCCUGCACCGAGUCUGGGGCUCUGCCCAGCCAUAUGCAUGAUGGCAAAGAUUCCACUCUGCACGCUUCUGAAGUACUCUGACAGUGAGCUGUACUCUGUAUAAUGGACUUGCUGCUCCCAAUAUCAGGGGAAGUCAUAUUCAUGAGAGAUUUGCUUCUGCCCGCCCCAGUUACUGUAGUUGUGAUAAAUCUCCCAACUCUAGACAGGGGAAACAGGCAUGUCAGCCUGCCAGUUGAAGAUCUUGAAUCUUUAGCGCACUAGACAGAACUAUCCCCAUCCUUAGCUUUCUUUGCUCAGGCAUUGAAGCUCCUCCUCCUUCACUGCCAUCCCCCAGGGACGGUGAGGUCUCUCCUACUGUCCUACCCACACCACAGCAGGUGGAAAGUCUCACAGUUCCUGUCCACUUCCCCUUGGUCACAACUUCCAGUUUCCUGCUUCUUAACAGCCAGAAACCCUACUUCCUACCUGGUCCCUCCAGAGACUCCUGGAGUUAUACACAUGGCAUUAUUUAGUGCCCUCAGGGUUAAACAGAAACAGACCCUCAGACAUUAAAAAAAAAAGAAAUAAAAACAGUUGGCGGCACUACGUCUUCCAAGGAGCUGAAACUCAGAGGUGCUCACCUAGCGCAAAGCCCAUUGACUUCAGUGGGAGUUGCAAGUGCUCAGUGCCUCUCAGAAUCAGACCCUAGAAAAACAGAGCUCAUGUGUCUGAGGCGUGUGGCAUGGCUCUGCAUCAUGCAAUUUCUAUAUAUCAGCACAAGCUUGCUGAUCUCUUGUCAAAUCAGCUAGCUUGGGGCAGGAUCAGUUCACUGACUUCUGCAUCCACUCACACCUGCAGGUACAGGUAUUGCACGGGACUUCUUAAUGUGCAGAGAUCCAAAUUACAGCAUGUUGGAAAAAACUGUAUUGUAAUUCAAGCCUGAGAGCAAAAUGACAUUUUGUCUUGCUGAAGGGACCAUAGGAAAAAGUGUGAGGAAACUCUGAAUAGGCCAAGUAAAAUAACACACCAUAGAAAUGAAGGUGCAAGGAGCUGCUUUCUUGUCCAGACACACAAGGUGUAUAUCAUAGAAUGUAUGUUAAAUUUUACUAAUAUUUUAUGCAAGAAAAAAAUCUUCCAUAUCUAACCAAUACUUUAAUAGGUGCUUUUCUGUAGAAGUUAUCUGAUGACUGGCUACAUGGCAAUGAUACACUAUGCUUGCUGCAUGUAUUAACCAUUUAUAUGAUCAAGCUAGAUUACAUUUUGAGUUGAGUGUCACUGAACUAUCCCUUCAUAUAAACACCCACUCUAAAACCUUCUAGAGAUCUUAAAGAAUCCAAAGGACACCAGCACUUUAAAACUGGUAUUUAACUUUCUUGAAGGUGGUAAAGUUGUUACAAUUUUGCAUUGGGCGAAAGAGCUUUUUGUUUGAUGAAAUGCAAGCUGUUAAAACAGGUAAUUACACUUCUGAGUGAAAAAGAAAAAACGUGCAAGUUUUUAAAACCAUGAUCCCUUGAUAUGACGAAAGAAUAUGAUGGCAGAACAUUAUAGCAGGCAAGGAAGGUCUGAUUCAUUGCUCUAUUACAUCAAGUUUAUACUAACUUCAACAGAAUUAUACUGCGAUAAUGAAAUCAUGAAUCAGGUAUGGAGUGCUCAGCAUAACACACUUAAUUUAUCUUCCAUUGCCUUAUAGAUGGGGUUUGCUGAGCUGCCCAAGGGAGUUUGGCAUGCAAAUUCCAUAGGAAGCCAAUGGAAUCUGGGCAUCUAUUUCCUUUAGGUUCCUUUGAAAAUCCCAGCACAUACAAAUACAACAAUGGCCAUCAUUAAAAAAUGGAUCCUUAUUACCACUUAGUGGAGUACUAUGUGUGCGGUAUCUGCCAUUCUAAAUAUACAGGUAAAUACUGCAGUGAGGGCAAGUGUCCCUUUAUUUAACAGAGCCCACAUUACUUCCAUUACCUCAGCUCAGUGAUCAGUCAGAAUCACCACCUCCGAAUGGAGUCAUUUAUUUCACAGAAAAACUUCAGCACGAGUGAAAUUGCAGUCUGUAUGUGGCAGAGUCUUGAAACAAGUUGGGACUUUCAUUCUCCUUCACUAUCCCCCAGAUCACUAGUGGGUAAAAUAUACCACUGUGCAGAGGGUCAGCAUGAUAUAUAGUCCUCUUUAGCCCUCACAAUAAUGCUGUAGUGGGACUGAAGCCGUGUGUAGGCCUUGUCCUGCCCCUUGUUUGCUAACUCCAUUUUAUUGGUGAAAUACAUUUGCUUGGAAAUAAGAUGUAGUAGCAGUUUCUUGGUUGGUGGUGUAAUGCUUUUUUAUAGAUCUUUUCUAAAAAUAAUACUGUGACAUUUCAGCACAUUCACUGCCUUCACUGAACAAAUGAUCUUGCUUUGUGUAUAGCCAUUAAAAAAACAUACUGAGAGCGCCCACAAGAGGCAAAACUGUGUGUUUGUAGUUUGGCUUUAUACUGUAAUACAGAAUCGCAAGGUAAUGUAAUCAUAAAGGGAAGUCUCCUUCACUCCUGUCUGCUCUUCACAUAUAGUAAGUGCAUUCAUCCUAACAAGGGGAGAGCUGGGUGUCUCCCAACACUUCCUGAGGAUGAAGCCUGGUAACACUAGUGAGUUACAGGAAGUAACCAGACCCAAGUCUUGAAAAAGAUUAAAAUUGCUUAGUGAUGGUAUUGGCAAAGGCAGAAUGUCCUAACUAGUGUAAUUUCAGAGAGCUCAGAAUACAAGAGCAAAUCUUGCAAACUGGAUUCUUCUAGCACUUCGGUAUUAAAACUCAAACCCAGGACACUGUAGGAAAUUUUCACCAUUAGCAAAGGUGGCGCACACCUCCAUAAUAAUAAAUAAUAAUAAACCACUGAUAAAGCUUGCACCUGUAAGUUGUUCCCAGUGGACAGACUCCUGCAUCCACUGAGCCGCAUUGAAUUCAGUGGAGCUCCUUGAAGGAUCAGGGUCUUCAGGUGUUACUAAGGGCCCUCAGAGUAAUCUUUCUGGGAACCCUGAGGCCUGGACUUGCAUGUCUACUGUGCUAAGAGGAGGCACCCUAGUAUUUAAAGCACUCUGCCACUGAUUCCUUGGACAUAAAAUACUGAACUAGGGCUCUUGGCUUUCCUGGUGUGAACCAGACAGUCCUAAGGAGCACCCAAGAGUCACAUAAAUAUCCUUCUGAGCCCAUGUCAUUGCUACAGGAAGAAUUGGAUCCAUGAUCUUUCCACGAGCAUCAAUGUGCCAAAUAUCCGUUUCUCACAGGACUGACUUCCUCAGCCUGUUUGAGUGCAAUGUCACUAAAAUCAUUCUCCUAUUUAUACCAGUAGCGGCAGGGAGGACAGUCGUUCCCUUAAAUGAGGGCCCGAUUCAUCUCCCAUUAAAGUCAAUGGCAAAGCUCUUACUAAUUGCAGUGACAAUUGGGUUAGGCCCUUAGUGCAGCUUUGGGUACAAAUACAGUCUGCUCACGUGGGGCACGAGGUGCAUUCUUCAAAGCACAAUGGGGAGUUUGCCUGAGCCACUCCCUUCCCUCUUGUAUUUUGUUGGAUGUAGGUGGAGGUCAUUGAGCCGAGGGGACGUUUAGCUCUCUGCCUGGGUUCCAGCAGGAUGCUUAGGGUACGGCUACACUGCAAACAAACAAAACUCAAACCCGUGGCAGAGAAUCUCUGAGCCUGAGUCAACUGACUCAAGCUCACAGAGCGUGUGCUACAGGGCUAAAGAAGAUCAGGGUAAGCAUUCCGGCUCAGGCUGGAGCCUGGGCUCCAAGACUCUCCCCCUCUCUCUGGGCUUCAGAGCCUGGGCUACAGCUUGAGCCCAAUGGUCUUCACUGCGAUUUUUAGUUCCAUAGUGCAAGCCUGGGUCAGCUGACCCUGGCUAUGAGACUCACUGCUGUGGGCCUUUCUUUGCAGGGUAAACAGAAGCGUACUCCAAGGUGCUAGAUGAUGGAUGGCUAACUCCUAGGCCGGGGUAGUCCAUUAUUUUUUGUCACGUUCCACAUGCCAGAAAAACAUUUUUCACACCACAAUAACAAUGAUAAUAAGUUAAAAAAUAAAAAGAUGUUGGGGUCCAUUCAAAAGCAUCUGAUGAUCUGGAUUUGGUCUGCCUAUUGACUAUCUGUCCUAGGCUGUCUUUGCUGCAGGCUCCAAAAUAGACUCAUCACGAUGUGGGAAUGAUUAGCAUCUGGCUAAGCCUUUGCCUAUAUUUCUCCACAACAGUCCAGUGUUCGUUCUUCCCGUGUAGAGUGCUUGGAUAUCCUAAGUCUCUUGUCGCUUAAACACAUGCAUUUGGAAAGCGGUCAGUCUCUCACUCUCUUUAAUCUACACAGAGGCACUAUUCAAACAACCAGUGAUCUUUGUAUAUAUUGCUACCAUAGGGGCUACUUUCUAGACUACUUAUUAGAAGCUCAUCUGUCAGCCCUGCCAUCUACAAUGACAGCUUUAUGGCCCUGGUUCAGCAAAGCACUUUAGCAUGUGCUCCGAUGAAUAAGGAUGGGAUUACUCCAGUGGUUAAAGUUAAGCAUCUGCUUAAGUGCUUUGCUUGAAUGGAGACAGACUUAAUCAUGUGCUAGAGUGCUUUGCUGGUUUGGGGCCUCAAUUAUACAGUCCAUUCAAGUUAUCUGACUCCCAGAAGGAGGGAAGGGUACAAUAUAUAGCCCUGCAUGGAACCACAUCAGGCUUCUGCUGAGUUGGAAUCAAAGCAUUUCAUAUUCUUGCAGUUUUGAUCUCCGGUUUCUCCCUUUUUACAAGCUGAUAUUCAUUGCGUUUGUAACCACUGACCGCUAGAGAAUUUUGUUUACAGUGUGUAUCAUGACUGAAAUCUUGAUCUACAGCAACACUCUUAAAAAUAAUGAAAUAGAUAAUUUUAUAAGUUGAUUCAGGAACCAAAAGCCCUUUCUAUUUACCAAGUGUAAUGACGGUGCAAAGCCAGACUGUUUGCUCCAAAAGGUGGCAUAGUGUUUGGGACCUGACUCAGGCACCUUGAAUGAGACAGCAAGUUAUUGUACUGAUAAACUCUACAAAGCUUUUGCUAGACAUACCUAAUUAUAUAUUUUCUCCAUGAGUUUUUAUGAAGGAAUGUUUUUUAAUGUUCAUUUUACAAAUGUUUACCUUGAAAAGCCCACCUUUUGUUACACGCAAGUAGCAUUGGGGGGGAUAAUUAUGGCUAAUACAACUUUUGUAAUGUUAUCAAAAUUGAGAGGUAACAAAUAUGGACUUUUCCAGCAUCACUAGAGUUUAAACUCAUAUCGCAGUGGGUGCCACGGUGGAAUUUAAAUCAGUGCUAAUCUACCACUUAUUGGGGGGAGAGGGAUAGCUCAGUGGUUUGAGCAUUGGCCUGCGAAACCCAGGGUUGUGAGCUCAAUCCUUGAGGGGGCCAUUUAGGGAUCAGGACAAAAAUUGGGGAUUGGUUCUGCUUUGAGCAGGGGGUUGAACUAGAUGACCUGCUGAGGUCCCUUCCAACCCUGAUAUUCUAGGAUACCAGUCAAAACCUUUGAAACACAGAAAAGUUGGUAAUUGGGUCGAAUUGCCUUAGCUUUAAGAGGGUUUGCCCUGUACAGUAUAUGCAUUCCACAUGAAACUUGGCAUUGUGUUCAUGUGCGUAGGCAUGCAAAUCUAUAUCAACACAUACACAUAUAUAUACACUAACACGGAUGCUACUCUGAAACACUUAUAUAUGUGACUAUAUGUGUAUACAGUAUAAAAACAUGGCUAUGUUGUCAAAUAUUACAUAAUAGAAAAAGGACUAGACAAUUUUUUGUUUUAAAUAUUUUAAAGUGUGAACUGUGUUUGAGAUUAUUUUUCUGCGUAUAUAAAGAUAUUUUUAGGACCUAACUUAAGUGCAUAAAAAGGUGUAGUAGAAAUACGUUAAACUAGCAUAGUUGUUUGACAUAGUAAUUAGAAGAGGUUCUGCUGAGCUUGCAGCUUAAUUCCUUGCACUUUUUUAAAGCUGUAAAAUACGUAGUUAGCAUUAAAUUCUAGGACCUCAAAACAUCAAGCAAGUAAAAGGGAAUUGUUAUGUGACCAGCGAUCUGAUGAUCCUAACAGCCAGCUGUUCUUGAAGGUUGUAAUGGGCACAGAUGAGAAUGGUAGCAUCAUAUGCAAGAGAAGAAAUAUGGUCAGAGCCUAGGAAAAUAGACUGGAAACUAAAGAGUAGUUUUCCCCAGAGAUUUGUGGUCAGUCUGCACUACAAAAUCUAAAGGGUUUGAGGUGCAGCCUUAGCUCCGCUAAAGUCUGAUCUUUCACCAUUUAUUAAUCAAAAAUUGUCCAGGGAAGCUCUUCUUUAGUUGGUGUCACAGAUCCAGCAUGACUGGGGUAGAAAACACUAUUACAAUCCACUUUUUUUCUAGCAUUUUGACCACGGGAUUGUUGCAAACUUCCCAAGUAAUGACAAGCCCCUGCAGCUGGGCUUUUUAAUCUGAUGUUCAUUUGCUUUCACUUCAGUCAUUUUAGUGCUGGUGAAAGAUGUUUAAUCAAAAUAUUUUAACCCUUUCUAAGCUGCUACUUUGGGCUUUACUAGCUGACGAGCUGGUGCGCAGCAAGCUGGGGUGUAAAACUACAGCACACUAAGGUGUUGUGCACCAAUUGUCCGUGCAGACCAUGCUAGUGCACACUACAGCUUCCUAGUGUGCUUUGAUUGACUCCCCUUUUGGUAGCAUCUGAGGACUCCUUCAGUAUGUUUGCCGCACAGUGCCAGUUCAGCUGUGGUCAUCCAGGCAGGACUCAUGGGAUGCUAUCACUAGAUUUCCACCGUGAAUACAGUUUUGUUUCCUGAAUCCGGCAUAGAUGCUGGUGUUUUCAGAACAACCCCCCAGCAGUCUCAUGUUGUGAUGCACAGAGCACCAACAAUGAAAUUUACUCCCGUGCUGAAGCCCAGCACAAGGUCCAUACACCACUGGCAUCCAGUUUCAGUGGGGCAUAAGCCUGUGCUAACUCAUGGCAUAUGGAUGCAUUGGCAUUGUUAUGGAAAAUUAACCACGCGCUGUGUUUGGAUCAGAACAGCCUGAGGCUACCUUUAAUUCAAGCAUGUGCAUGCAGGGAGAGUCAGCCAGCCUCGCUGCUCUACCCAAACAGGAACACACAGAAGUUUAUCUAGGUUACAGGCAAUAUUCAAUUACUCACACUUCAUUAGUAUUUUUCCAAACCUUGGCACUCUAAUACCUUAUUAGGAAUAGAGCCAAAACAAGCUUUUCCUGUUGUUGAUAGGGUUAUUCUUUUGCAGUUAACAUUUUUCCUCAUCCUAGCUGCUAUUGUUACAUUUCUUAAACUGGGCUGUUGCAAUUGCUUUACAAUGGAAUUUUCCUCACUCUCUUCUCAUGCCCUCUAACCACAUACAUCGUUAACUUGACCAAAGAUUAGGCCUAUCCAAUUUUUCCUGUACAGCAUCCUUAUUUUAUUAAUUGAUGAAAUUACAGGUCAACCCUCUCUUGCCUUGAAAAAAUGCAUCAUCUUGUAAGGCCAGUUUGCCCAGUAGAAAGACAGGUUUUGGUUGAAUGUGAGGUAAUUUGCUGUUUUCCUACUAUGACUACUAUUUAAAUAUCUCCAUUUUUCAUCAGCAUUAUGAAAGGAAAUACAGUAGAAGAGAAACUACAGUAUAUCUGUAAUGUUAACAGUACUUCCCCAACUAGUUUACAGUUCACAAAGAAUUAAGACGCUUUUUAGAAUGCUAAUUCAUGAUUAAUAGAUUUUAUAGAAUACCCUAUUCCUUUCUUCAGUUAACUGGAAAAGGAAUUUAGUUCUAAAACCUUUACAGACUUUAUCAUGGGUACUUUUUACUUCGUGUUGGAAGGUUAUUGAAAAAGGCAAUCCAUAGUAUUUUUACAUAAAAUGGGGAACACCCUCUUGCUGGUUGUGUUGUUACUUGCUAGUACACUUGUGGCGAAGUAAAUGGUAUUUUUAGUUUCCUUUAAAAAGAAGUAUUGUACUGUUCAUAAGAGCUUACAAAUUCAUAAGGCAUUAUAAAAUACUUGUGCUACAUGUCUUUGUCUUAGAUCUGGUUAAACACGGAAGUUAAUUUUUUUUUUCAGAAUACAUUUGUACUGUUAAUUUAGAUAUCUUUAUCCAUUCCAGGCUUCCCCCCCCCCAAACUGGUCAUCAUAGGUAAUAAUGGAAAAUACAUAAUUAGACUGUUCCUUUAUAUUAUGAAAAUCUCAAACAUGCUUGGAUGAAUAUUUUUGAAACUGCUGUUUCCUUUGCUCCACUUGUUUAAGUUAUUCCAUUUAUGAACAAUGUCAAAGAGUUUUUAGUAUUCCUUUUGUACAAAUUACACCCACUUCCACUACUGUAUUCAGUGAGAUUAACUGCAAAUAAGUUUCUAUUCUUGUUUUUGUUUGACAAAUUACUGUAUGUAUGUGAAAUUAUGCAAGAAUAAACCUAAUUUUUUUUAACAAUGAA